rnacentral:ncRNA from 1 species
AUGGCCGAUUUCUCCUGCGCCGGUGGGCUGCUGAUGGUCGCGACCGGAUUGCGCAUCUGUAACAUUAAGCUUUUCCCGGUUGCCAACAUGUUGCCGGGGCUUGUUUUGGUAAUGCCUUUUUCCCAUUUAUGGGCUACGCUGGUUGCCUGAGUAUAUGACCCGGCGGGUUUAUGCCGGGUCAUCAU